ACAAAAACAGAGACGGGUCAUGUUGGUUGGUUUCGUAUCGCGCGAGUUUCACAACGAUUAAAAAAAAAGAAGUCAGUUGCAAAACUGCCAAUCUCCUGAAUGAACACAGAGGAAUGUUUGUGGGCGCUCAGACAAAAACAAAMGCGUUUCCUGGAGUAAAGCAACGACUAAGAAAUAAGCUUAACAGAAUCUAUAAUUAACCUGUGAAACAUCACCUGAUCGCUUUCCUCAUUCAGGGAAAAAAAAAUCCUCAAUGAUUUUCUGAAAGAAAGAGUUCACACUCUGAAUAAUUUGUGUAAAUAAAUGUGCAAAAAUGUUGGGAUUUGGUGGUUUUGGUGACUCCUCUGCUGGUUCUGGUGCCGUUCAAACAUUUCAUACGGGUUGACCCCGAUAACUGGAGCAUAAAGUGAACUGACUGAGUGUUUAGUAAAAGGCCAGUCGGAGGGGGCUGGCAGCGCUGAGCUCAUCAACUUUGCGAGUCAAUCAGAAGAUGGAGGGAUGAAUAAGCAGCAGGAAGUUUCUCGCAGACUCACAAUGAAUCAGAGGAAAAAACAGGGCGGGUAAUAAAAAGAAAAAAAACACAACCGAAUGUGAUCUCAGACUCGUUUAACAGGCUGAUAAAAACGGGAGAGCAGGUGCUGCUAUGACACUGCAGGUCUGGGGAGGAGAGGUUCCAGAUUCUGAGGAAUGUCAAGUGUCCACAUAACUGACCCUGGAGGUGAUGACCUACUGACCACAGCUCCAUCAUAACACAAAGAACACACAACAUUAAAAAAACACUGAAUAAACUGAAUACAGACCUAAACUAAAGCUCUGAAUGUGACUAUGUAUAGGAAAAAUAGAAGUAAAUAAAUCAGUUUAGUUUUAAUACUUUUACUACUGUUUAAAAAAUGUGUGUGUGUGUGUGUGUACUUGUAUUUGUUAGCAUUUUAGGACAGUUUCUGGUAUACUACACAUAACCUUAUAGUCCUUAUGGAGACCAAAGACUGAGCCUAAUAUGGUGGAACUCCAUUUUUGGGUUUAGGGGUUGGGUUUAAGACUAAGGUGUGUGUACUGGGGUGUGUGUGUGUGUGUGUGUGUGUGUGUGUGUGUGUGAACUAUGAGUUUGGUAGAACUUGGAAAUUGAAACAGUUGAUGUGAAGAAGCAGGGCCUCAUGUUUCUGCUGCGGUGUGGCUCUACUGAAAUAUCUAAAUUUGGAGAGCAGUAUAACCUCAGUGAAAACCAGCUGAAGGCUCUUCAGAUGAAUUCUGCUUUAAAUAAGGAGUCGAGGUAAAUUGUAAAGAGACAGAAGCAACUUGAAACAGCUCAUUCCUGACAUUGUGAACAUGUUCUGAAUGUUGUAAAUAAAAUCAUUUUAAACCAGUA